AUGUCACGAGCAAGUGGGCGCUUCAUCACAAAGGGAGGCUCAGCCCACAGUCAGCUGUGCCUCAGGCCUCCUCUUCAGCAAGCCAGGCUAACCACAUGGUAGUGCUUCCAUGCCCUAGCUGUUUAGCUUAUGAAAAAUGUGAACAUGCCUAGGGUCUGUGAAAGUUCAUCCAGGUCUAGUGGUAGAUAGACAAUAGGUAGAUGGAUGACUGAUGGAAAGAUUCAUAUGUAGAUUAAUCCAUAGAUAGACAGCAAGGGGAUUUAUUUUAUAUAACAUGGUGGCUCCCAGGCCACCUUCUAGCCUGCCUACCCUGGUAAUUUCCACACACUGUCUGUCCUCAAAGCUCUAAGAAUACUCUAAAGACCCACUCUGUACAAGCUCACCUAAACCUUCAAAAGAGAUAAGGGGUCCA
rnacentral:lncRNA from 10 species